rnacentral:rRNA from 1 species
UGCCAGCAGCCGCGGUAAUACGGAGGGUGCAAGCGUUAAUCGGAAUUACUGGGCGUAAAGCGCGCGUAGGUGGCUUGAUAAGCCGGUUGUGAAAGCCCCGGGCUCAACCUGGGAACGGCAUCCGGAACUGUCAGGCUAGAGCGCAGGAGAGGAAGGUAGAAUUCCCGGUGUAGCGGUGAAAUGCGUAGAGAUCGGGAGGAAUACCAGUGGCGAAGGCGGCCUUCUGGACUGACACUGACACUGAGGUGCGAAAGCGUGGGUAGCAAACAGGAUUAGAUACCCUGGUAGUCCACGCCGUAAACGAUGUCGACCAGCCGUUGGGUGCCUAGCGCACUUUGUGGCGAAGUUAACGCGAUAAGUCGACCGCCUGGGGAGUACGGCCGCAAGGUUAAAACUCAAAUGAAUUGACGGGGGCCCGCACAAGCGGUGGAGCAUGUGGUUUAAUUCGAUGCAACGCGCAGAACCUUACC